rnacentral:rRNA from 1 species
UACGUAGGGCGCAAGCGUUAAUCGGGAUUACUGGGCGUAAAGCGUGCGCAGGCGGCUUUGCAAGACAGAUGUGAAAUCCCCGGGCUCAACCUGGGAACUGCAUUUGUGACUGCAUCGCUCGAGUGCGGCAGAGGGGGAUGGAAUUCCGCGUGUAGCAGUGAAAUGCGUAGAUAUGCGGAGGAACACCGAUGGCGAAGGCAAUCCCCUGGGCCUGCACUGACGCUCAUGCACGAAAGCGUGGGGAGCAAACAGG